rnacentral:miRNA from 1 species
UUAGUCAUGAAAGCGUUUUUUC